CUUCUUCCUACCCCCACCAACCAGUAGCUGCCACCAGCCACUUUUCCAGCCAGUUUUGGUUGCCGGGAAGCCACCAUUUCCGGCCAACAUUCAUUCAAGCCUUUAAUUUACCCAUUCAGCUCCAAAUCAAGAUUCCAUUGGUUGUUGGAGUUGCAAGCUUGGUUAGGUGAGGUUCAAGAACUUGGAAAGUCUUGGGUUAAGAAAAGGUUGAUUGUGGCCGGAGAAUUCAAGGUUGAGUAUUAGCUUUACAUAGCUAGUUCUUGGAGUAUGAGGUAGGGAAAUUCUAACCUUUGCUCUUCUCUUUGAAUAUGUCCUCCUAUUAAGAACGUUUAUCUUUUCUCAUUGUUCAUUAUGAUUCUCGUUCUCGCCUUAAUUGUCCCUAAGG